rnacentral:misc_RNA from 1 species
AUGAAGAACGCAGCGAAAUGCGAUAAGUAGUGUGAAUUGCAGAAUUCAGUGAAUCAUCGAAUCUUUGAACGCACAUUGCGCCCUUUGGUAUUCCAAAGGGCAUGCCUGUUCGAGCGUCAUUUGUACCCUCAAGCUUUGCUUGGUGUUGGGCGUCUUGUCUCUAGCUUUGCUGGAGACUCGCCUUAAAGUAAUUGGCAGCCGGCCUACUGGUUUCGGAGCGCAGCACAAGUCGCACUCUCUAUCAGCAAAGGUCUAGCAUCCAUUAAGCCUUUUUUUCAACUUUUGACCUCGGAUCAGGUAGGGAUACCCGCUGAACUUAAGCAUAUCAAUAAGCGGAGGA